CCCCCCUCUCUCUUUAGAUUUUUUUACUGGCCUCAGCUUUAUUAGCCAAACAAAAAAAAACCAGUUUCACUGUCUCUCUCUCAUUUGAUUUGACACUUUUAUAAUUUUUCCCCAUUCGCAUGUAUGUCGUCUCCCUCUGUUUUCAUCUCACCCUCGCCCCCACCCAGUUGUUUCUUCUUCCCCAUAUUUUUUUCGAAUUAAAAAAUUCAGAAAAAUCCCUUUUUUAAAAUUAUAGUAUUCUAAUUGGGGUGGUUAGCAAGAAAUUGAUUUCUUGCAUUAUCGAAAAUGAGGUGGGAAAAGGUUGAGGUGAAGGCGAUAGGCACAACAACAAAGGGUGGUGGAGGGCCAGGGAAGAGGUGGGGUCACACCUGCAACGCCGUCAAAAGUGGCAGACUUGUCUAUGUAUUUGGUGGUUACGGCAAAGAUAACUGUCAGACCAACCAAGUUCAUGUCUUCGACACUGUGAAGCAGGCAUGGAGCCAACCCGCUUUAAAAGGCUCCCCACCUACACCUAGGGACAGCCAUACAUGCACAGCCGUUGGUGAUAAUCUGUUUGUGUUUGGGGGUACAGAUGGAAUGAACCCUCUCAAGGAUUUGCACAUAUUAGACACUUCUUUGCAAACAUGGGUUUCUCCAACCAUAAGAGGAGAAGGACCACCAGCACGUGAGGGUCAUAGUGCAGCAGUUGUUGGCAAACGACUAUACAUCUUUGGAGGUUGUGGAAAAUCUGCAGAUAAUAAUAAUGAGCUCUACUACAAUGAUCUUUACAUAUUAAAUACAGAGACAUUUGUUUGGAAGUGUGCUACAACGUCAGGCACUCCACCAUCUCCUCGUGAUAGCCACAGUUGUUCAUCUUGGAAAAACAAAAUUAUUGUGAUAGGGGGUGAAGAUGGGCAUGAUUAUUAUUUGUCUGACAUCCACAUUCUUGAUACUGAUACUCUAAUUUGGAGGGAGCUGAGUACAUCUGGCCAAUUGUUGCCACCUCGAGCUGGUCAUUCCACUGUUUCUUUUGGCAAGAACUUGUUUGUUUUUGGUGGAUUUACAGAUGCCCAAAAUCUUUAUAAUGACCUUUAUAUGCUCGAUAUUGAUACUGGUGUUUGGACAAAUGUUACAACUGCAACAAAUGGUCCUUCUGCUAGAUUUUCUGUGGCUGGUGACUGUUUAGACCCUUUUAGGAGUGGUGUUCUUAUAUUCAUCGGUGGUUGUAAUAAAAGUCUUGAGGCCCUGGAUGAUAUGUAUUACCUAUAUACAGGGAUUGCACGGGAAAGUGAACAGAGACCAGAAAAAUUAUCUUUAAAGAAGCAAUUGAAACUGAAAUGCCUAGAACAAAAUCCCAAUCCUAGCCAAAAUCAAGUUCUCGUUAGAUAUGGAGUGGGUUCUGAUGUGGGACAGAUCAUGACAGUGUUGAAUUAUAGCCAAUCAAGUAGAGUAAAUAUCCCAGUAAACCAAUCCCCACCUCCCGGAAAAAAAAUGUUUGAAGCCAAGGUUACUGAAAAUAUCUCAGAAGGAUAUACUAUUGAAACUGUUAUUGAUGGAAAACCUCUUCGUGGAAUUCUGUUUUUAAACAAGCCUAACUCUCUGUACUCAGGUGCUCAUACUUGCAGUAGGAAAAGGACUGUCGGUGAAAUUGAUAGUGUUGUCUCAAAUGGUAUACAUUCUAACCAAUUAAAGACUCCUAAAGUGGUCAAGCAAAAUCAAAUGGAAAACCGAGAAGCAUCUCGUGGAGACUGUUCCGAAUGUCAUGAACACCGCACCGAAUCCAUUGCUGUGCUUAUGUCAAGUAACCCAAUGACUGCCAAUCCUUCUGAUACCCAUAAGGUUUCUGCCAACCCAGAACCAGAAGCUGCGGCUUUGAAUCGAAAUGAUGAAAAACAUGAAACACCUAAAUCUUUAAUUGGAAACUUGACAAAUGAUGGAGCAAAUGAUGUGACAAGUUCCCAAGGUGAGGUGCAAACAAGUGAUCAAACAAAUGUGCUAAUUUCCAACUUUGAAGUUCCAAGAGACAAUAAAACAAGUGAUGCUCCAAACUACAACACUGAAUUUCUGAAACCUGCUGCAGCUGAGAGCGCUUUGCAUCUGUCAAAUCAAGAUAGAGCUGAUUUUCAAGGUCUCGGAAAGAGUUACCUAUGGAGGGUUCUGACCGGUGAAGGAUUCUGACCAACAAGAAUGUUAAGGGAAGUGUCAUCGUGUGAGAUGCCGUAGUGUGAAAGCCGCUGAGCAGUCGAAAAUCAGGGAUGUUACAAUCAGACCAAUGACUAAAUCACUAUUGGACUUGCAACGAUCUGUCAAAACAGGCCAGCUUGAUCCACUUGGGCCAAGCUGUUUUCAGGCAGCUCCAAUUUGGUGUAGUUUCAGUGGCGGAUUCCGCAACUCCACAACUCCACAACUCCACAACUCCAACGACAAGAGAAUGCAGUGAAUCAGCAAAAUUAAUUUGAGCUCAGGAGAUAACGGCUGAUGGUGAUAACUGUCUGCUAGGCAUUUGUACAUUCCUCUUCUCAAGUCGAUCAUAGAGUUCAAUAUAACUGGUGAUAUAUAGGCUAACGUGCUCCACUGGUGGGUUAUACAAUCAUUUACUUACUGUCAUCCUUUAGUCUGAAAUUUUAAUUGAACAAAACCAUGAUUAAGUUUAGGCGUAGGUAGUGAUAGAAGCAGUUCUAUUUUAUUGCGUUAUGUUCAUUCCAGUCUUCAUUUAUUGCAUGGAAAGAAAAUUUUGUUUUAUUGGUGCCUGGGUAUCAGUAUUGUUUCCAAAUGCAGUUUAACCUAUUAAAUUCCAAAGCUCUUUGUAGGGUUUCACAAAGUGUAGGAUUUGAUGUUAUCUUGAAGGAUUCGAGAAGAAGGAUGUUCCAUUUAAUUUCUGUGUGCUCUUAGUGCUUGGAAAUACAUUUUUUUUGUCCUA